rnacentral:rRNA from 1 species
AGCUCUUUCUUGAUUCGGUGGGUGGUGGUGCAUGGCCGUUCUUAGUUGGUGGAGCGAUUUGUCUGGUUAAUUCCGAUAACGAACGAGACUCUAGCCUGCUAAAUAGGUGGCGGGUUUAAAAAUUUUUGGGGGGCGGUCGAGUGCGGGAUCAGGUCGUCUGGUGGGCGGUGGUGCCGGCCGUGGCUGUCGUCCGAGGUCCUUCGGGGUCGGAGGCGGCGGCGGCGGUCUGCGUCUCCGUCCGCCGGGCGUCCCCUGUACGAGGCUCCCCCCGCGUCCGUCACAGCUCUUCUUAGAGGGACAAGCGGCGUUUAGCCGCGUGACAGUGAGCAAUAACAGGUCUGUGAUGCCCUUAGAUGUCCUGGGCCGCACGCGCGCUACACUGAAGGAAUCAGCGUGUUUUUCUCCCCCUGUCCGAAAGGACCGGGUAACCGCUGAACCUCCUUCGUG